ensembl:lncRNA
CAUCAGGACACGUUGUUUGGAGGCUGCUUUUGCCCCAUAACAGCCUGACUCUCAUCCCUUUAUUCCCCAGGGAAAGAGCCACCUGCCCAGCUGCACCUCCACCUUCCCAACACCACCAGAUGUGCCUCCACAUUGUGCUGCGCAAGGAACCGACUCCGGGGGUAAGAAGGCAGGAAUGACCCCACCACGGGUCCACGGCUGUCCAGGGGACUCCUGUGUGAUGGUGGCAUGUUCCUCCCCGGCACAGGUCACACAGGCUGGUGGCAAGGCCAUUCCAGACCGGCUCCGUGCUGCCAAGGGGUGGUGUGUGACCUCAGCAGGCACGGGGACACCACCACCAUGGUGCAGGAACAUCAAUAUCCUUCCCUGCCACCUCCACUGCUGACCCACAGCCCCACGGGAUCCCUGGCCUGUCCCUGCGGCUCCUCCAACGGCCCAGGCCGUGGACUGCUGGGUUCCCCACCCCAGCUCUCAGCAUGCCCUUUUCUGGUGCAGCCAGACCCUCCCAGGAAUCACUUUGGAGCUCAAGGCCAUCCUGCAGAGUAAGGUAAGGUCAGUUCAGUCAAAAUCAGAGCAUCCCAAAAUGGUUCGGAUUGGAAGGGACCUUAAAGACCGUCUUGUUCUACUCCCCUGCCAUGGGUAGGGACACCUUCCACAAGCCCCGUCCAACCCAGCCUUGAACACUUCCAGGGAUGGGAGAGCCGC